rnacentral:rRNA from 1 species
UACAGAGGUCCCGAGCGUUGUUCGGAUUCACUGGGCGUAAAGGGCUCGUAGGUGGCCAACUAAGUCAGACGUGAAAUCCCUCGGCUUAACCGGGGAACUGCGUCUGAUACUGGAUGGCUUGAGUUCGGGAGAGGGAUGCGGAAUUCCAGGUGUAGCGGUGAAAUGCGUAGAUAUCUGGAGGAACACCGGUGGCGAAGGCGGCAUCCUGGACCGACACUGACGCUGAGGAGCGAAAGCCAGGGGAGCAAACGGG